rnacentral:misc_RNA from 1 species
AGCAAAUCCAAUAUAUAAACAGCAGUUCAAUUUACACAGAAAUCAUAAAAUUUUACAUUUAAACAAUAAGCUAUAAAUUUACACAUUUAACUUGUCGAUCUAAAUAAGGAAGCUAAAUCAUUCAGAUAUAUAAGUUUCUUGAAUGAAAGGUUUGUUAAAAAUCAUCAUCCUGAUCAUCUGAGGAUUUAACUUCACUUGUUUUUGCCUCUAAAUCAUCGAGAUAAUGUUGAUAUAUAUAUGAUGCAUAUCCCCAUAAUCCCAAUAACAAUGAAAACACCUUCAAUCCAUUC